rnacentral:rRNA from 1 species
AACAUAGUUUUAUGUAUUUAUAUAAAAUAUUUUCUGCCCAAUGUUUUUGAAAAAAAUCAAUGGCCGCAGUACCUUGACUGUGCUAAGGUAGCAUAAUCAAUUGGCUUUUAAUUAAGGUCUAGAAUGAAUGGGAUAAUGAAGUUAAUCUGUCUUAGUUGCUUUUAUUAAAAUUUAUUUAAAAGGUGAAAAUACCUUUUUUAAAAAUAAAGACGAGAAGACCCUUAGAAUUUUUAUUAUUUUUUUUGUUGGGGCGACAGUUUAAAAUAUAAUCUUAAAUUUAUUGUAAAUAUAUAACGAUUUUUUUAAUAGAAAUUAAAUUACCUUAGGGAUAACAGCAUAAUUAAUUAUUUAGUUUGUGACCUCGAUGUUGGACUAGGAACUAUAUGGCUAACCGUCUAAUUAGAUUUGUUCUGUUCG